UACGGGGGGUGCAAACGUUGCUCGGAAUUAUUGGGCGUAAAGCGCACGUAGGCGGUCUCGUAAGUCGGGUGUGAAAGCCCGGGGCUUAACCCCGGAAGGGCACUCGAAACUGCGAGGCUUGAGUAUGGAAGAGGGUCUCGGAAUUCCCGGUGUAGAGGUGAAAUUCGUAGAUAUCGGGAGGAACACCAGUGGCGAAGGCAGCCCCCUGGGCCAAUACUGACGCUCAUGCACGAAAGCGUGGGGAGCAAACAGG
rnacentral:rRNA from 1 species